rnacentral:lncRNA from 1 species
UAAUUAACUUCACAAUAGUUAAUUUUUUAUAAUAUCUUGUUAUAUUUUAUUUAUAAGAAAUUUAAAUAAUAUAAAUCACAUAUAUUGAAUAAUAUUUUAAUUUCAAAAAGGGAUUAAAUUUCAAAUACCAUUCCUGUGAUUUUGUACUUUCUCAUUUUUGUAUCUUGUGAUUUAAUUUUUCUCUUUACGUCAGCUCCUCCAUUAAUAUUUCGUUAAAUUAUAUGCAAGAAAUUUCAGAUACCCUAUCUAGGUUUAUCGAAUAUUUACUUUAGUACCAUUUAGUUUUAAUUUUGUCACUAAUUUAACGAAAAAAAUUAGUAGAAUGGAUGAUAAAAAGAGAAAAAUAAAACUACAAAUUAUAUACUAAAUUAAUACACUUUAAACUACAAAGUACUAAAGUGAGAACGAGAGAAAUCACGGUGUGGUAUUUGAAGUUUUCCCUUAAAAAAAAUACAUUUUUAAUGUAAUA